AAGAAGUGGCUGCUAGUCAGUUAAGUUAUCUUAUUGAUAAAAGUCUAGUUAUUAUUAGCAAGAGAAGUAUGGAUGGUAAAAUCAUGACAUGUAUGAUUCAUGAUCUUGUUCAUGAUUUCUGCUUGAAAGAAGCCGACGGCCAGAAUCUUCUGUAUAUUGUGAAUAACGAUAUUGAUGGACCUCUAUGGGUUAUUCCUGAAGGCUGCAGGUGGGUGUCACACCAAUCAAGUGGCAUUCAUUUUCACCGUCGAUUCCCUGAUUUUGCUUAUACCAAAUUAGUCAGAAUCUUCUGUAUAUUGUGAAUACCGAUAUUGAUGGACCUCUAUGGGUGAUUCCUGAAGGCUGCAGGUGGGUAUCACAACAAUCACGGGGCUUAUAUUUUAGCCGCCGAUUCCCUGAUCUUGCUUAUUGCAAAUUACGUUCCUUUUCUGUCAAUUCUAGAACAGUAAUUCUUGAUGUAGAAAGGUGUCAUUUCAAACUUCUUAGGGUAUUGGACUUGGAGAAUAAGAUGAUUCUCGACCUCCCCGUAGCUAUACAAGACCUAGUUCUUUUAAGGUAUUUGGCAUUGAGGAUUUCAAGAUCUGGACAAUUUCCAAUUUCUAAACUUCUGAAUUUACAAACUCUCGUUGUUCGUCCACAUCCAACAGACACUAGUUUAUGGAAAAUGUACUCCUUACCAAAUGGAAUUUGGAAAUUGUUUCAGUUAAGGCAUCUCCAUUGUUGGUGUAUGUAUUUGGACACUCCUCAGACGGUAUCA
rnacentral:lncRNA from 1 species